UGUGGGAGCGAGCCUGCUCGCGAUAACGGUGGGUCAGUCACCAUGGAUAUCGCCUGUGAUACCGCUAUCGCGAGCAGGCUCGCUCCCACA
rnacentral:misc_RNA from 1 species